GCCAGUGUGGUGUAGUGGUCUGAGUGUUGGAGUAUGACUCUGGAGACCAGGGUUCGAUUCCCCACUCGGCCA
rnacentral:tRNA from 1 species